GCCGUUCAAUCCGGAGCCCCGGCGUCGACGCGCGGCCCACUGGGUGAGCCAAUGGGAAGGCCACGUUGCGCACUGGACGCGCUCGGACUCAAGACUGAUUAACCAGCACCGGGGUUUUCUGGGGCCUCGCCUGGGCCGCGGCCUGAGCAGAAGCGCUAGGAGGUAGAACAGCGUCCAGCGGGGAGAGGAGCUAGAGUCGGCAUCGGGAAGCCCACCCUGGAGCCUGCUUAGCUUGACGAGCCCUCAACCGGGGCGCCCUGCUCUGCGAAGAGUAACCCUGCAUCCUCAGAACAACCGUGAUUGUCUUCAUUCCUACAUAUGAGGAACGGAGGCGCGGAGCCCCACGGCAGCCGGGGAUCCAAAGACAGCCUCCCUCCAGUUCCAUCUGCCGGCUCUUGGAAGGCCUGGAUCCCUGUCCUUCAGGGCCCAGCCCAAAUGCCGCCUCGUCCAUCUGCAUUUUACGGCCAGGUGCCCCGCUGCGGGCACGGCUUCUUGUAAAAUGCUCAGCUCAGCAGUGGGCGAGGCAGGGUCCCUGCCCCAUGGGAUGGAGGGCGGAGAUCAGGACCCACAAGAGCCCAAAGAAGACCAUUUUGGUCGGUGAAGACCAAAGAAAUUCAAGCAGGAGGAUGUGACAGGAGCUUUUGGGAAAGCCUCUGAGGAGGUGACAGCCAUGCAACCGUGUUCGGGGAAGUGUGCCGCAGGCAGAGGGGAAAUGAGUGCAAAAGCCCUGAAGCUGGAGUUCGGUGUCUGGAUAACAGGAAAGGCCUGCAUAGCUGAUGUGUGCCAGAGGGGAGAAAGAUCUGUGACACAGGGGGGCCGCCAUGUUUAAUUUGGAGUUUUGUGUGGAAGGGGGUCAUUCAUUGAGUCUGAAUUGGGAGUUCCGAGGUCUCAUUUAUAUUUUAGAAAGUUCUCUCCUGCUACUAUGCAGAGAUUGGGCUGUAGGAGAGACAAGAGGGGAAGUGGGGACUCUAGCUACAGUAGCUCUUCCAGGGGUCUGGGUGCCGGCAGGGCUGGUUUCUGGUGAGGCCUCUCUCCCUGGCUUGCAAACAGCUGCCUUCUCACUGUGUCCUCCUAUGACCUUUUCUCUGUGAGCAGGAAUCCCUGGUGUGUCUUCCUUUUUCUUACAAGAACAACAAUUUUACUAGAUUAGGGCCCCACCCUAUGACUUCAUUUAACCCCAGUGACUACCUAAAAGGCCGUAUUCAAAUAGUCGUAUUAGGCCAGGCGCAGUGGCUCACGCCUGUAAUUCUAGCACUUUGGGAAGCCGAGGCAGAUGGAUUGCCUGAGCUCAGGAGUUGGAGACCAGCCUGGGCAACACAAUGAGACCCCGUCUUUACUAAAAUACAAAAAAUUAGCCGGGCAUGGCGACGUGCACAUGUACUCCCAAAGUGCUGGCAUUACAGUUGUAAGACACUGCACCGAGCUGCAAGAAGCUUUUAUUGCAAAGUGAACAUACACAUUUAAGAGAGAAGUGCAGGCAUGCCCGUGAGAAUGAGUCUUGCACAAUGGAGUUUGGGUUCCUAAUUUUAUGGGUGUUUCUUUUAGUUACAGGAUGGAAUUAUCGUUAGGCAUUCUGGAAAGGGAGGGGAUUUCAGGGACCUCCACCUCAAUUACUGUCUCCUUUCUUCCUUAUCUGGGUUUGCUGGAAGAAGCAUGGACAUGUCACCCUGGCCAGAGUUUUGGCCAUCUUCUCUCCCUUGGGUUUUCUGUUAUCCUAUGGUUUAUUUGCCUAGUUCCUGUUUCAGCUGUUUGGGUUUUUCCAUCCUCCUGUGACCACCCAGUGCUGUUCCUGUCUCAGGCAUUUGGGCGCUUGUUUGUGGUCGGCCUCCAACCCUACAGGAGAGCAGAGACUCUGCUUUUUUUGUUUUGUUUUGUUUUUGCUUUUUGAGACAGAGUUUUGCUCUUGUUGCCCAGGCUGGAGUGCAAUA
rnacentral:lncRNA from 1 species